rnacentral:tRNA from 1 species
GCUUUUAAAGGAUAAAAGUUAUCUACUGGUCUUAGGCUCCUGACAUUCAUGGUGCAACUCCAUGUAAAAGCU